GACCUUGAACUCCUGAUCUUCCUGCCUCCUCCUCCCAAUUGCUGCGAUUACAGGUGUUCACCACUAUACCCAGCUUC